UGGGUUGUGGCUCAGGGGUAGGGAACUCAUUUGACACAUGUGAGGCCCUGGGUUCGAUCCUCAGCACCACAU
rnacentral:tRNA from 1 species